ACAGCAGUCGCCGCGGGAAUACGUAGGGUGCAAGCGUUAAUCGGAAUUACUGGGCGUAAAGCGUGCGUAGGCGGUGAGUUAAGUCUGCUGUGAAAUCCCCGGGCUCAACCUGGGAAUGGCAGUGGAUACUGGCUCGCUAGAGUGUGUCAGAGGAUGGUGGAAUUCCCGGUGUAGCGGUGUAAUGCGUAGAGAUCGGGAGGAACAUCAGUGGCGAAGGCGGCCAUCUGGGACAACACUGACGCUGAGGCACGAAAGCGUGGGGAGCAAACAGGAUUAGAUACCCCUGUAGUCCCUGUCUCUUAUAC
rnacentral:rRNA from 1 species